rnacentral:lncRNA from 13 species
GUUUGAGAUAAACAAAGAACCAGAGUCCUAGAAGGGAUCCAUUAACAUUAAUAAGUUGCAGAGAAGAGGAAUCAGUGGAGGAGAUUGAAAAGAAGCAACCAUUGAAGUAGCAGGAAAAGAGACUGAGGCGAACUAGGAGCCAAAUGAAGAAAGUAUUUUAAGGAAGAGAGAAUGGUCACUGCUACUGAUUAUCAAACAAUAUGAGGACUCAGAACUCAUCAUUGGGUUUAGCAGUCUUGAGGUCAUUGCUGACCUGACAAGAAGAGAUUUCAUGAAUUGUAAUGAAAGCUUGACUGGAAUGGGUUUAAGAGAGAGUAGGAAGACACUAAUGGCAGCUCCUUUGAAGAGUUUUACUGCAAAGGUCUGCGUGAAUCCCGGAGCAGUGUUCUCAGCUGUGACAGCAAAGUGGGAUCACCCGGAGAAACUGGAAGAACAUACCGAAGCCUGUGCCCCACACCUGGGGAUCCUGAUGUAACUUACCCAAGUUUUAAGAUGCAAAAGAUCUAUGAGAAGCAAAUUACAGCUGUUACGCUACGAGCACGUUAAGAAACAAAGAAAACAGGGCUACAGAAUUUGGGAGAUGUACUCGUCAGGAUGUGUUGAGCAAUACUGUGGUGACAACCAACCACUAAAAUAUUAGAGACUUAACAUAUUACAAAUUUAUUUCUAACUCAUGGAAAGUUCAGUGUAGAUGUUUCUGGUCACGUCCUCUUGAAUUAUUCUCUUCAAGGUGGUGACACGUGGUCUUUUCAGAAAAACGUCUUGUCUUUAUCAUCUAUUCAUUUAGUCUAUAAAGUGGGAAAUAGAAACACAAAGUGCUGGAAUGUGGAAAAUGGUGACACAGGGAUUCUUUCCAUCUAGUACCUUUGUCAUCCCCUGUGCCACAAUUGUCCUCCACUCUAUGCUUUCCGAACAGCCAACCAAGAAGCAAAAAGAAAACAUGGAGAGGGCAUACCCACUUUUACAUGUUUCUCCCUAGAAGUGACACAUCACUCUGGCAUCAGAGUUCCGCUACUGAGAACUAGAUAUGAGGGGGCUGGAAAAUGUAGUCUAGCUAUGUAUUGAGAGAGAAAAAGGAGUUUGGUGAGCUUCUAGCCCGUCUUCGACAUGGUGAGAACCUGAUAAAAGUACCAGUGAGGAGAAUAACAGAUUGGAUUAAUGGCAGAGAAGCCGAGCUAGAGUGAUAGUGUCAACGUGGCGGCAGUCGUGAAGACCAAGGAAGGAGCAAUCAAACAAUAGCAAUAAAUCAAGGAGACAGACCA